rnacentral:rRNA from 1 species
ACGGACCAAGGAGUUUAGCGUGUGCGCGAGUCACUGGGUGGAAAACCCAAAGGCGGAAUGAAAGUGAAAGGGGCCUCUGGCCCCCGAGGGAAGAUGGGCGUCCGUCCUUCGCAGGCGGCGCCCCGCACUCCCGGGGCGUCUCUUUCUCGUUACGAGUGGAGGCGCACCUGUAGCGCACACGCUGAUACCCGAAAGAUGGUGAACUAUGCCUGGCCAGGACGAAGCCAGGGGAAACCCUGGUGGAGGUCCGCAGCGAUUCUGACGUGCAAAUCGAUCGUCGGAGCUGGGUAUAGGGGCGAAAGACCAAUCGAACCAUCUAGUAGCUGGUUCCUUCCGAA